AGGGUUUGAUCAUGGCUCAGAUUGAACGCUGGCGGUAUGCUUAACACAUGCAAGUCGAAUGGAAACGGAACUAGCUUGCUAGUAGACGUCGAGUGGCGGACGGGUGAGUAACGCGUAGGAAUCUGCCUGAUAGUGGGGGAUAGCCCGAAGAAAUUCGGAUUAAUACCGCAUAAUCUAUUCGUAGUAAAGUGGGGGACUUUCGAGCCUCACGCUAUCAGAUGAGCCUGCGUAAGAUUAGCUUGUUGGUAGGGUAAAAGCCUACCAAGGCAACGAUCUUUAGCUGGUCUGAGAGGAUGAUCAGCCACAUCGGGACUGAGACACGGCCCGAACUCCUACGGGAGGCAGCAGUGGGGAAUAUUGGACAAUGGGGGCAACCCUGAUCCAGCAAUACCGCGUGUGUGAAGAAGGCCUGAGGGUUGUAAAGCACUUUCAAUUGUGAAGAAAAGUUAACGGUUAAUAACCGUUGACCUUGACGUUAACUUUAUAAGAAGCACCGGCUAACUCCGUGCCAGCAGCCGCGGUAAUAC
rnacentral:rRNA from 1 species